rnacentral:antisense_RNA from 1 species
ACAGAGAAGGGAAAACAGAGGGGCAGAGAGACAGAGAAGGAAACAAAGAGACUUUAUUAAAACCAAACAUCGUGGAGGCAGCUGCCAGACCGCAGAGGUCAGAGUCAGGUGGUGUCCUGGACUCCUGGCCCAACCCCACAGAAAUGCGAGUCCCACCUCACAGCUCCGGGGCUGCGGCUUCCCAGCGCUCUCCAGGGUUGGGCGCGUUGGCUCACGCCUGUAAUCCCAGCACUUUGGGAGGCCAGGGAGGGUGGAUCACCUAUCAGGAGUUUGAGACCAGCCUGGCCAACAGAGUGAAACCCCAUCUCUACCAAAAAUACAAAAAAAAAUUAGCCAGGUGUAGUGGCUUGCACCUGUAAUCCCAGCUACCCAGGAGGCUGAGGGAGGAGAAUUGCUUGAACCCAGAAGGUGGAAGUUGCAGUGAGCCAGGAUCACACCACUGCGCUCCAGCCUGGACAACAGAGCAAGACUCCAUCUCAAAAAAGGAAAAAAAUAUAACGGUCCUCUAUGUCCCCUGUACCUAUAUAGAAUAGAUGUGGACAUUUUGCCA